GUUUUGAUACAAAUUUGAGCCCAAUAAUUAUUGCCCCAUCUUGCAUUGGUUUCUUCUCCUCUUCAUUGGUUUCUGUGAUUCACUUCUUUUUUUUUUGUCAACAUUCUGUGAUUCACUUCAUUUUCCCUAAAUCGGUGCUCAGUUUUAAUUCAAUUCUCAUUCAAUAGAUUUUUUGCUUUCUUCAAUUCUCUGAAUCUGUAGAUAUAAAUAGAUGUAUUUGCAUCUGUAGAAUUUAUCAUUCCAUUUUUCAUAAUCAUAUUAAUACUGAAACUUCUGCAGAUUAAGAUGGCAAGCUCCUCUGUGCUCCUCAUAUAUUGGGUAUAGAUUCUGGUUCGAUUCAGCCGUUUGUGAGACUGUCGUUAGAGAAAACCCAGUCGUCAAGGCGACAAACGUCAAACGCGGUGGCGAUUUGAUGGAGUUUGAGAAGCUUUUUCUAUGGGACAAAGGAUAACCUUUAGUGGGCAAAUUCUUAACUAUGAGAACACAGUGGCACAAGUGGUGGAACUCCUUGGAGAUGAGAAUACUGCAGCUGAUUUACGAUGUUGGUUUGGGAAACAAUAGCUAUCUUAAUAAUUAUUUCAUGUAAGUUUUCUAAACCCGUUUUAGUUUGUUUCAGCAAUAUAUUUGAAUGAACACUAUAUGAACAUGGUUUGUUCCAAAUCAAUAUUAAGUUUAAAGCUUAAAGCUUCCUGAACAUAAUAUUCAAGUGUCAUAAAGUAAUUUACCUAGGAUUUCAUGCCGGUUAUAAAGUCUACAUAUUAGCUAUGUUUGAGAGAAUCGGGACUUUUGGAAAAGCGAAUUCGAGAUUUAGAGAUAUGAGGUUUAGCAAGCGUCUGUAACAGACUUGGUUGCAUUGAGACUAACAAGAAAGUGAAAAGCUUCUGGCUUGGUCUCAACGAGUUUGCAGAUUUGAGCCACGAAGAAUUCAAGAACGAGUAUUUGGGGCUCAAGACUGAUAUAGAAAGAGGCGAUGAUGAAAGAUCCUAUCAAGAGUUCGCUUAUAAGGACGUUGACGUCGAAACUUUGCCUAAAUCUGUUGACUGAAGAAAGAAAAGAAUCAAGGCUCUUGCGGUCUUGGUUUUAAAUAGCGUGUUGCGAUCAAAUGCGAUGAGGUGCUCGACUCUCGCCAAGCGCCAUGGCGAGGCAAGUCGAUCGCCAUGUGUAACACACAUGCAAAACCGUAAUUAUCUAUUUCUAACUUGUACCUUAUGUUAAGCCAUUGAUAAAAACAGUAAGAGAAAACUAAAAUACCAAUUCCAUUGAUAGCUUAAAAGCUUAAAGCCAAAACACCAAUUCAAAAGUACUAAAAUUUAAAAGAUCAAGAACUAGAAAUCCUAAAAACUCUAAAAUUUGGGUUCAGAGUUUUGCUUGAUAAGAAAAUAUAGUAUAUGAGAACAGAGAACUAAUAGUAAAAGGAAAGAAGAUCUAAGCUGAGUGAAUAGAAUGAAGAACAUAGAGAAAGAAAGAGCUGAUGAAGAACAUAGGUAAUAUAGUAGAGUGGAUUAGGUUUGUCGAUACAUUUCAUUAGAAGGUAGAGCUUAUGUAUUAAACCGAAGUUGGUUUAGUAACCAAAAUAUGUAGAAACCAAGUUGGUUUGAGAAGAAUUAGUGAGGCGUCGCUAGAAGCGCCUUAUAAAUAAUACUAAAGAGCUCAAUAGCGAGCGCCAUGUGUGCCUCGCCUGGCUUUCAGGUGUUAAUGCGAUGAGUACACCGCUACACCUCGCCAAGCGCCAUGGCGAGGGAGGCGUUCGCUUUUUAAAACCAAGCUUGCGGAAGUUAUAAACAAAAUUGUGACAGAAAACUUGUGGAAGGUAUAAAUAAAAUUGUGACAGGAAACUUGACAAUAUUGUCUGAACAAGAACUCAUAGACUGUGAGUCUGUGAGUCUGUGACACAACUUACAACAAUGGUUGCACCAGAAAACAAAAACGGCGAUUCCAACAACAAGAAAUGUUGUCUCAUGGAUUAUGCUUUUGAGUACAUUUUCAAGAACGGAGGUGUUCGCAAGGAAGAGGAUUAUCCUUACUCUAUGGAAGAUGAAUCUGAAAUGGUGACUAUCAGUGGGCAACAAGAUGUACCGAGAAAUGAUGAGAAAAGUCUCUUGAAGGCGUUGGCUCAUCACCUCUCAGUUUCGCUAUUGAUUCUUUUGGUAUAGAGUUCCAGUUCAUAGCGGUGAAAGAUGUUGGAAAUAUUGUGUUUUGGUAUAUGAAGGGUGUCUUUGAUGGGAGAUGCAGUGUCAAUUUGGACCAUGGUAUUGCUGCAGUUGUGUAUGGAUCAAGCAAGGGUUCAGAUCAUUGUUAAUUGUUUUGGUUGCAUCAGGACGAAGAGGAACACUUAUAAACUAGAGGCUCUCUGUGGAAUCAAUAAGAUGGCUUCUUUCCUCCACUAAAACAAAGUGAUAAUAUCAUUUUAUGUUAUCUGCAUUUCAUCACUAUCUUCGUAACAACAUAAAAUUGUUAUUUUAAUGAAUAGAAAUGUUGUAACAACUUU